UACGUAGGAGGCGAGCGUUGUCCGGAAUCACUGGGCGUAAAGCGCGUGUAGGCGGAAGGGCAAGUCUGCUGUGAAAGCGCCUGGCUUAACCGGGCGAGGUCGGCGGAAACUGCUCAUCUAGAGGCCGGUAGAGGCAGGUGGAAUUCCCGGUGUAGUGGUGAAAUGCGUAGAGAUCGGGAGGAACACCAGUGGCGAAGGCGGCCUGCUGGGCCGAGCCUGACGCUGAGACGCGAAGGCGUGGGGAGCAAACAGG
rnacentral:rRNA from 1 species